rnacentral:lncRNA from 1 species
AUAUGUAACACUUAUCAUGAACCUCACUAACUAAUCUAUGAUUCUAACAUAAACCCUAAUUCCUAAAAAUCAUGAAGUUCUAACUAGAACUCACCUUGCUAUGAAGAAUAUGAUGAAGUUUGGUGAAGAAAAUAUUGAAUGAUGAUGAAAUGAAGUUGUAGAUGAUGAUAAUGAUGAUGAUAUUGUGAAGAUAAUGAGUUCUUCUUCAAGCUUCUUCUUCCUUCCUCUUCUUUCUUCUUCCUUUUCUUUUCUUUCUUUUUUCUUAUUUCUCUCUUU